rnacentral:lncRNA from 1 species
CAAACUCAUAAAUCGAAGACAAACUGACAACGGUUUGGCAUAAAAUGUUAAAAAAGAAAAAGAUCAGUCUAAAAAACACAAAACGGCUGAGUAAAUAAUUUUAAUAAAUCCCUUUGACAUGAAAUAUACAUCCAAUUCAUUUGCACUUUGGCAAAUAGUUGUUUCAUUGGCAUUCAAACCACAUCUCAUUUUUUUUUAACAGAUAGGUAAAAGUGAGUGUAGUUUGUGUUUUAUUGUGUUAAUUAUUCAAUCACCUCACGUGAAUAGACUGGACAACACGUGUUAUGUUUUAUUUGUACUGAAUUGUAGCACAUAUAUUCUACAACUGAAAUUACCACCCAUUAUUAUGUUCAUUAUUUUAUUAUUUGAAAUAUUUGAAAAAAAAAUAAAAUUUUUUACUCUAUCAAACUUAUAAAUUCAAUAAAGUGAUAAACUAUUUAUAUACAAAUGCAACUAACCCAUCUAUGAGUUCUUUCCUAAAAGCUAAAUUGUAACAGAAAUAAAAAAAAAAAAAACGUAAAUUGCAUUUUCCUUUAUUAGAUAAAAUGAUUCAUUUCAAUGUGUUGGGUGCGCUCUUACCUAAUGAAGGGAACUGAAGGUUAGAGCGCCAAACCUUCCAAAAUUCUGGUAGGGAGUGGUGUUCUCGCCAAUGACCUGUUAUAAUCUACAACGCCGACGGAGGAGAACCCGUUACUGCUCUAGCCGUGCACCUCUACAAGGUGUAAUUUCUUCUGGCUUGAAGAAAUUAUUUUGGAACGGAUCUCUUCUUAUCUUCAUUCAUUCUCUUUAUUCUUUAAAACUCUCUUUAAUCUUUAAUUUUUUCUCAAGGUCUAUAUUUCAAACUUUUUCAUUCUCUCACUCUUUCUCUCAUUCUCUCAAUAUUUCAUUUUUUUUAAUUUUUUCUUCGAUCUAUGCCACUCUCUCUUACUUUCUCUCACACACUCUUACUUUCUCUUUCUCACUCCCUAACACUCUUUAUGUCUGUAAGAGAUGUGGGAGCGAGAGAGUGUGUGUCUGUGGAGAGAGAGAGAGUGUGUUGUGUUGGAGAGAGAUAGUGUGUUGUGUGGGAGAGAGAUAGUGUGUUGUGUGGGAGACAGAUAGUGUGUUGUGUGGGAGACAGAUAGUGUGUUGUGUGGGUAGUGUUGGAGAUAGAGAGAGUGUGUGUGUGAGAGAGAGAGGGUGUGUGAGAGAGUGUUAGCGAGUAUGUGUGAGGGAGUGUGGCAGAGUGACAAGAGUAUGUGUGUAGGAGAGUGUAUGGGUGUGGGAUAGAGAGUCUGUUAUGUGAGGGAGAGAGAGAGUGUGUGAGGGAGUAUGUUGGAGAGGGAGUAUGUUGGAGUGAAGGAGUGUGGCAGAGUGAGAGAGUGUGAGAGAGAGUGUGUAGGAGAGAGUGUGUGUAGAAGAGAGUGUGUGUGUGGGAGAGUGUGAGGGGUGAGUGUGUGUGUGUGUGUGAGAGGGGAAAGUGUGCGGGGAAAGGGAGAGGGAGUGUGAGGGGAGAGGAUGUGAAAAUGUAGGAGAGAGUGUGAGAUUGAUUAUGGGAGAGACAGUGUGAGAGAAAGAGUGAGUGUAGGAGAGUGAGUGUCAAACAACUAUGACUUCUUUGUUAAAUAAAUGUUUAAAAGCCGUUGAUGAAGGAAAUUUAGUAGGGGC